CCUACGGGAGGCAGCAGUGGGGAAUAUUGGGCAAUGGGCGCAAGCCUGACCCAGCAACGCCGCGUGAAGGAAGAAGGCUUUCGGGUUGUAAACUUCUUUUCUGAGGGACGAAGAAAGUGACGGUACCUCAGGAAUAAGCCACGGCUAACUACGUGCCAGCAGCCGCGGUUAUACGUGGGGGGAAGGCGUUACCCGGAUUUAUUGGGUGUAAAGGGCGGAUAGGGGGGAAAGCAAGUCAGAUGUGAAAACUCAGGGCUCAACCCUGAGCCUGCAUUUGAAACUGUUUUUCUUGAGUGCUGGAGAGGCAAGCGGAAUUCCGUGUGUAGCGGUGAAAUGCGUAGAUAUACGGAGGAACACCAGUGGCGAAGGCGGAUUGCUGGACAGUAACUGACGCUGAGGCGCGAAAGCGUGGGGAGCAAACAGGAUUAGAUACCCUUGUAGUC
rnacentral:rRNA from 1 species